GACCUUGCUGAUUUUAUUACCUUCACUCCAUGACCACUGGAGCACCACCAGAUCCCUGUAACCACCAGCUCUGGCAGUUAAAUUUCUUUUUCACAUCUGUACAAGGAGCAGUGAAGCUGAAACCUCCUGGAGAAGCUACCAAAGCUGUGCUGUCUGCUUGCAGAGUCAUUCUGGUGGGGUUCUGCUGCUGGUCCUUCCACAGCUGGGGAAAUGGAAAUUGAUCCUGGUUCCUGGACACCACUGCUGAUAAUGUCUUUUUAUCAAGACUCGCUUGUUUCUCUAGAUUAAAUUGGCUCUAUUGAGAGAUUACAGUCUCCAAAGGCCCCAUCAAACCUUCCCAAUGAACAAGAUUGGUCUGGAUUCAAUGGCAGCUGUCUUGCUCCCUCUCAUUCAGAUUACCCUGUGGCUCCCAUGUGACUUGCAGCCAGUAGAAUCAUAGCAUCUGAGGUAGGCUUCAAGCUACGUGUAGUUGCAUAUUUGAAAGUGAUGUAUGUGCCUAUGAUCACAAAAUAUAGAGUAUUUCUUCAGGGAGCUGCACACUGUAAUACUUGAGUGUACUCUAAUCAGGCAAUACAGUCUUAUGGUUAGAAUAGGUCUGUGACAUCUAUUGGACUAUCAACUUUGAUUUGAUAUUAGUAAAGCCCUGUAAAAAACCUGUAAUGAUAUGAUGUUAGUGGGAACUAUGAAAGCUAUAUCAACUAUAUUAACCCAGUUGCCUCACGAGCCACAGAGCAAAUAAUCCCAGCACAGGAUUGUUCCUCUGAAAGGAAAUAAUCAGUGUAUCAAUGAAAACACGUGGACCAAAUGUACCAUUGUGUCCCAUUCCCCCCUCCCCCUUCUUAUUCCAGAUAAGAACAGUAUAUUUUCUGA